rnacentral:rRNA from 1 species
GAAAGGCCAAUCAAACUCGGAGAUAGCUGGUUCUCCCCGAAAGCUAUUUAGGUAGCGCCUCGGACGAAUACUACUGGGGGUAGAGCACUGUUAAGGCUAGGGGGUCAUCCCGACUUACCAACCCUUUGCAAACUCCGAAUACCAGUAAGUAAUAUCCGGGAGACACACGGCGGGUGCUAACGUCCGUCGUGAAGAGGGAAACAACCCAGACCGCCAGCUAAGGUCCCAAAGUUAUAGCUAAGUGGGAAACGAUGUGGGAAGGCUCAGACAGCCAGGAUGUUGGCUUAGAAGCAGCCAUCAUUUAAAGAAAGCGUAAUAGCUCACUGGUCGAGUCGGCCUGCGCGGAAGAUUUAACGGGGCUAAGCUAUACACCGAAGCUGCGGCAAUGUGACUUGUUCACAUUGGGUAGGGGAGCGUUCUGUAAGCCGUUGAAGGUGCAUUGUAAAGUGUGCUGGAGGUAUCAGAAGUGCGAAUGCUGACAUGAGUAACGAUAAAGGGAGUGAAAAACUCCCUCGCCGGAAGAUCAAGGGUUCCUGUCCAACGUUAAUCGGGGCAGGGUAAGUCGACCCCUAAGGCGAGGCCGAAAGGCGUAGUCGAUGGGAAACGGGUUAAUAUUCCCGUACUUCUUAUAAUUGCGAUGGAGGGACGGAGAAGGCUAGGUGAGCCUGGCGACGGUUGUCCAGGUCCAAGUAUGUAGGCUGAUGGUUUAGGCAAAUCCGGACCAUCUUAAGGCUGAGAUACGAUGUCGAGCUACUACGGUAGUGAAGUCAUUGAUGCCAUGCUUCCGGGAAAAGCUUCUAAGCGUCAGAUUAUAAGAAAUCGUACCCCAAACCGACACAGGUGAUCAGGUAGAGAAUACCAAGGCGCUUGAGAGAACUCGGGUGAAGGAACUAGGCAAAAUGGUACCGUAACUUCGGGAGAAGGUACGCUC